rnacentral:rRNA from 1 species
GCCGCUGGCGGUAGGCCUAACACAUGCAAGUCGAACGGCAGCACAGGAGAGCUUGCUCUCUGGGUGGCGAGUGGCGGACGGGUGAGGAAUACAUCGGAAUCUACUUUUUCGUGGGGGAUAACGUAGGGAAACUUACGCUAAUACCGCAUACGACCUACGGGUGAAAGCAGGGGAUCUUCGGACCUUGCGCGAUUGAAUGAGCCGAUGUCGGAUUAGCUAGUUGGCGGGGUAAAGGCCCACCAAGGCGACGAUCCGUAGCUGGUCUGAGAGGAUGAUCAGCCACACUGGAACUGAGACACGGUCCAGACUCCUACGGGAGGCAGCAGUGGGGAAUAUUGGACAAUGGGCGCAAGCCUGAUCCAGCCAUACCGCGUGGGUGAAGAAGGCCUUCGGGUUGUAAAGCCCUUUUGUUGGGAAAGAAAUCCAGCUGGCUAAUACCCGGUUGGGAUGACGGUACCCAAAGAAUAAGCACCGGCUAACUUCGUGCCAGCAGCCGCGGUAAUACGAAAGGGUGCAAGCGNUACUCGGAAUUACUGGGCCGUAAAGCGUCCGUAGGUNGGUCGUUUAAGUCCGUUGNGAAAGCCCUGGGCUCAACCUGGGAACUGNAGNGGAUACUGGNCGNCUAGAGUNUGUAGAGGNUACCGGAAUUCCUGG